rnacentral:rRNA from 1 species
UGAACGCUGGCGGCGUGCCUAAUACAUGCAAGUCGAGCGAACAGACGAGGAGCUUGCUCCUCUGACGUUAGCGGCGGACGGGUGAGUAACACGUGGAUAACCUACCUAUAAGACUGGGAUAACUUCGGGAAACCGGAGCUAAUACCGGAUAAUAUAUUGACCCGCAUGGUUCAAUAGUGAAAGACGGUUUUGCUGUCACUUAUAGAUGGAUCCGCGCCGCAUUAGCUAGUUGGUAAGGUAACGGCUUACCAAGGCAACGAUGCGUAGCCGACCUGAGAGGGUGAUCGGCCACACUGGAACUGAGACACGGUCCAGACUCCUACGGGAGGCAGCAGUAGGGAAUCUUCCGCAAUGGGCGCAAGCCUGACGGAGCAACGCCGCGUGAGUGAUGAAGGUCUUCGGAUCGUAAAACUCUGUUAUUAGGGAAGAACAAAUGUGUAAGUAACUAUGCACGUCUUGACGGUACCUAAUCAGAAAGCCACGGCUAACUACGUG